AAUAGAAGAAUGACAAAUCAGAUUUUUCUUCUUGAUUUUCAACUUUUUUUUUCUCCUUAGAAAAAAAUAAAAUCCAACUAAAAAAGCUAAAAAUCAGGAGAAAAAAUCUAAUUGGUCAUUAUCCUAUU
rnacentral:pre_miRNA from 1 species